GACGAACGCUGGCGGCGUGGAUUAGGCAUGCAAGUCGAACGGUAUCAUCCUUUCGGGGGUGAGAGAGUGGCGAACUGGUGAGUAACACGUAGGUUAUCUACCCUCAAGACGGGGACAACCCAGGGAAACUUGGGCUAAUACCGGAUGUGAGCAACUUUUAGUUGUUUGAAAGGUGGCGUAAGCUGUCGCUUGGGGAUGAGCCUGCGUCCUAUUAGUUAGUUGGUGAGGUAACGGCUCACCUAGGCAAUGAUAGGUAGGCGGCCUUAACGGGUGGUCGCCCACACUGGGAUUGAGAUACGGCCCAGACUCCUACGGGAGGCAGCAGUCGAGAAUAGUCUACAAUGGUCGGAAGACUGAUAGUGCGACGCCGCGUGAACGAUGAAUCCCUUCGGGGUGUAAAGUUCUUUUAUAUGUGAGCAGUGCUUCUUAUAUUAACAGUAUGGGGAGAGAGAUAUUAGCAUAUGAAUAAAGCAACGGCUAACUCCGUGCCAGCAGCCGCGGUAAAAUACC
rnacentral:rRNA from 1 species